UCUCAACACUUUGUCUCUUGUCUCUGUGUGUUGUGUUUGUGUCUCUCUCUCAGUUGUGCUUUAAAAACACAACCUCCCAACAAUCUCUACGAACCUUAGCAAUCUUAGAUAUCCUAUUCAUCGGUAUAGCAGGGUUAGGGUUUAAGGUAUUGAAUCGAAUUUUUUCUCCGUUUCAGAUUAUUUCAGGUGAAAGCUUUGAUGCGCUGUGGUAGUUGAAGCUCGGCUUAUAGGUCAGCAUGGGAUUUGAUAAUGAGUGCAUAUUGAACAUUCAAACUUUAGCUGGAGAAUACUUCUGCCCCGUCUGUCGUCUACUUGUUUAUCCAAAUGAAGCAUUACAGUCACAAUGCACUCAUUUAUACUGCAAGCCCUGUUUGACAUACGUAGUGGGUACUACUCGGGCUUGCCCCUAUGAUGGCUACUUGGUGACCGAAGCUGAUUCCAAGCCGCUUAUUGAAUCAAAUAAAGUGCUUGCUGAAACCAUUGGCAAAAUAGCAGUGCAUUGUCUCUAUCAUAGGAGUGGAUGCACAUGGCAGGGGCCUUUAUCUGAAUGCACAUCUCAUUGUACUGGAUGUGCAUUUGGCAAUUCUCCUGUUGUAUGCAAUAGGUGUGGGAUCCAGAUUGUGCAUCGCCAAGUGCAGGAACAUGCACAAAAUUGUCCUGGUGUGCAGCCUCAAGCAGAGGGUGCUCAGGACACAUCAGCCACUGGCGGAACUGCUACUGCUGAUCAGACUCAGACUACCACUCAGGCAGGAACAACUCCUCAGGCCCAGACAUCUCAAACAACAGCAGCCACUAUACCUGGACAGGAUCCUAAUCAGCAAGCAAACCCAAAUUCUCAAGCACAAGCUUUAGCUCAGUCUGCUGUGGCAACUUCAGAACAGUGGUAUCAGCAACAACAACAGUAUCAACAAUACUACCAGCAGUAUCCUGGAUAUGAUCCUUAUCAACAGCAAUAUCAGCAAUACUACCCUUAUCAACAGCCGACAGUUCCACAAUACCAGCAACAGCAAUUGCAAGCUCCUACACCACAUGUGACUGUCCAACAUCAACCUCAGGCUUACAUGCAACCUCAGCCCCAUAUCCAGCCUCAACCCCAACUGCAAUCUCAGCCUCAUGGACAGUCUCAAUUACAUGUUCAAGCUCCAGCAGUUGCUCAACCUCAGAACCAGGCACAAGUUAACCUGCAACAGCAACCACUAACCGCGGUACAGCCACAUUCUCAAAUUCAAUCGCAGACUCAACCAGCCCCGAGCCACCCACAUCCUCAGCCUCAGCCCCAUCUGACCCAACCUCAUCCACAGCAACAUGUCCCGAUGCCUCAAUAUCAGCAGCCUCAUCAUCAAAUGCAACAUCCACAGAUCCAAAUCCAGCAACAGGCCCAUCAGCAUCCUACCUCUCAAGCUCAACCUCAUUCACAAGCUCAGCUACAAGCACCUGUUCAUCCCCACCUAAAUCCUAAUGUGACUCAGAUGCAGCUUCCAUCAGCCCAUGCUGUGACCGGCCAUCAAUCAUAUCCUCAGCCUCAGCCUCACCAGCAAGCGCACCCAGUAGUUCCCCAACAACAUCCAAUGCAAAUGCACCCUCAAGGUGGGUUUCAGCCACAGACUCAACAUCCUGGUCAAAUGCCAAGUCAAUAUCCUCAACAACAUACUACUAUGCGUCCAACCCAUUCUCAUGGUACACUUCCAAACCAGCAACAGGUGGGUUUGUUGCCAUCACCAGGUCAAGGCCAAAACAUCCCUCUUGCACAACAGCAGCCAGUUCAACAACCUGGACACCCAAUACUCCAGCGCCCUGCUAUGCAGCAAGUUCAACAACCCAUGACACAUCAAUAUGUACAGCAGCAGCAGCCUUUCGUUCUGCAAGGUCCUUUUGUACAGCAGCAGAUGCCUACCCAAUCUCAGUUACGCCCCCCAGGCCCGCCCCAUUCAUAUCCACAACAUACUACUGCCUAUCCUCAGGUGCAGCAGAAUUUACCAUUAUCACAUGGAUCUCAAAAUGUUGCUGGAAGACCUGUGUUGCCAAAUCUUGGAGUACAAUCACACCCAUAUCCUCAACAUGCUGGUGGUGUUCAGGCUAGGCCAAUCCAUCCCGGUGCAAGCCAACCAGCAGCAAAUCAGACUAAUAUAUUCAGGAACAGCAAUCAAGUACAAGUGUCUACUGAACAACAGUCUGGGGUGACUUCAAGACCAACAAGUGUGGGUGAUCAAAAAGCUGAAUCAUCUUCUGAGAAUGCUGUUAAAAAGGACUCAAAUGAUUUGGGUGCUGGUCUUGGUGCUGAUGCUGGUGAUGGUAAAACUGUGAAAUCUGAAACUGAGUCCAAGGAUAAUGGUGAUGCUGAACCUGGAUCAAAUGCUUUUGAAAAUGGAGAACUUGUUAUGCGGAUGGUGAAGGAAGAGGUUACAGAAAGUACUUCGGAGCAUUUAAAGGGUAGUAAAUCAGGUGAAUUUGUAACUGAGAUCAAGAAAGAUGUAGAAAAUUCUGCUAUGGAAGAUAGAGAAAGUCAGGAUGAUCAUCUACUGAAAAAACCCCCAUUGCAAGAAUCUGAACAUGUUGAAAAACUCAGUGGGAAGUUGCAGAAGGAUGCCAGUGGAAUUCAGCAGCCUGAUGAAGGCUCACAAACUUUGUCUACAAUUUCAGCUCCUGUCUCCCGUAGUCCUGCUCAGAAUGUCAUCCCAAAAGGAUCUGUUGCUCAUGGUCCUGGAGUUGAUGAAUACAGAGGUUUUCCUCCACCUGGUCAGGUGCAACCUGGGGGCUUCAUGCAGCCUUCUCACCCAGGUCCAAUUGCUGAUCAGGGAAGGCAUUUUGGGCCUUCUACUCUUCAACAAAGGCCUGGUGCUCCAUUAUUACAAACAACCCCUCAUGCACUUCCACAUUACCCACACACAGCAGGGCACCCUCCCACUCAAUUUAGGCCUCAGGGACCAGGGUAUGCACCUGAGCAUUUCCAGCCACCUGUGUUUAAGCAGUCUCAAGGUCUUGAAAUUCCUCCUGGUGGCAUCUCAGGUCCUGGCUCCGCAGCAUCCUUUGGGAGGGGAACAGGUUAUCAUGGUUUUCCCCAUCAAAACUUUGAAUCACAAUCUGUUGCUCCUCAAGGCCCUCAUAGUCAAGGGCAUGCACUCCCUACCCAUGCUGCAGCUUCCAGAAUGUCUCAAGGUGAAUCUGUUGGACCACCAUUUGGUAUACUACCUCCUGGUGCAAUUGAUUCACAUGGUGGAAUGGCUAGAGCACCACCCCAUGGCCCUGAAGGUUUGAUGGGCCAGCAGCGGCCUAGUAAUCCGAUGGAAACUGAAUUGUUUAUAAAUCAUAGACCUGGCUACAUGGAUGGUAGACGACCUGAUCCACAUCUUCCCGGGUCUUUGGGACUGGGUCCAGUUGGUCAGCCUUCCGGUGUGAUGAGAAAUAAUGGUCCCCCUGGCCUUGAGUCCUCAUUCACACACGGGUUGCGGGAUGAUAGGUUUAAGCCUUUCCCAGAUGAGCGUUCCAAUUCUUUUCCGGCAGGCCGACAUGUAACUGAUAAAGGAGAGUUUGAAGAUGAUCUCAAGCAAUUCCCCAGGCCUUCUCGUUUGGAUGCCGAGCCUUUACCAAAGUUUGGGAGUUAUUCAUCAAGGCCCCAUGAUAUGGGACCCCAUGGGCUAAAUUAUGAUACUGGUUUGAAAUUAGAUCCUGGGGCAGGUGGUGCCCGUUCAAGAUUCUUGCCUCCCUUUGAUAGAGGAGAGAGACCAGUUGGUUUACCUGAUUCUUCUACUAUUCAUCCAGAUUUUCUUGGACCAGUUACUGGUUAUGGUCGGCGUCACAUGGAUGGUCUUGCUCCUAGAAGUCCAGUUAGAGAGUACCCAGGCAUCUCCUCACAUGGUUUUGGAGGCCUUCCUGGCCAGUUAGGUCCAGAUGAUUUUGAUGGCAGCGAGUCACGUCGAUUUGGUGAUCCAAUUGGCAAGUCCUUCCAUGAAAGCAGGUUUCCUAUGUUGCCCAGUCAUUUGCACAGAGGUGAGUUUGAGGGUCCUGGUAAGUUGCGAAUGAGUGAGCAUUUAAGGAGUGGUGAAUUGAUUGGUUUAGAUGGCCAUUUACGGAGAGGCGAACAUAUGGGUCCACAGAACAUGCCCAGUCAUUUGCGGCUGGGAGAGCCAAUUGGUUUUGGUGAUUAUCCUGGUCAUCCACGGAUGGGAGAACUGGCUGGGCUGGGGAACUUCGAACCAUUUGGUGCAGGCAACAGGCCAGGUCAUCCACGAUUUGGUGAGUCUGGAUUUAGGAGCAGUUUUCCUCGUCAGGGAUUUCCGAAUGAUGCUGGAAUUGAUACAGGAGAAAUGGAGUCUUUUGGUAACUUGAGGAAGAGGAAGGCAGCUAGCAUGGGAUGGUGCCGAAUCUGUAAAGUUGAUUGUGAAACAGUUGAAGGCUUGGAACUGCACUCACAAACAAGGGAGCACCAGAAGAUGGCAAUGGAUAUGGUACGGAGCAUCAAGCAAAAUGCAAAGAAACAGAAACAAACAUCUGGUGACAACUCCUCACUUGAAGAUGCAAGCAAGUCAAGGAAUACCAGUUUUGAGGGCCGUGGGAAUAAUCAUUAAGUGAUUAUGGUUGCUUCCCUGUUAAUGGAGAUGGUUUGGAACUGAAGUGCAGUGGCAGGUUUCAUCACUAGAAUUAAACUUGUCUGAUAUGGUUGCUUGGUUUUGCUGGUGAUUUGCUUCUGGUGUCAAAACUUUCAGAUUUUCAAUUCGACCUGUCUUUUUACGGCGAAGCAGACGACAAAAUGGCUGAAAGUUCAGUGGAAAGGUUUACUCGGUGACCUUAUAUGGAUGUGUUACGGAGUGGCCUUUUCGAAGUUGGAUGCAAUUAUGGAAUUCAAACCCUGCUUGGUCGUGUUUUUACCAGGUUUGUGGUUUUGAAGGCUUUUUUUUUUGGGUGUGUGGCUAUCAGUGAGUGCUAGGGACGAGGUCCUGCGUUGGCUAAUGUCAGUACUCCCUUGUAUGCAUUGCGAAGAUGUUACUUGUAACUUCCACACUACGUAAGUACGUAUGCUUGUGUAUAAAGCUUGGCUUUGGUGGGAAACUUCUUAUGCAUAUGCCUAGUAGUUGCCUAUGUUGUGGCGGUGUAUCGUGUUGGCUUACACUAUAGUUUUACACUUGUAAAUUAUAUAUUUUGCAAUUUUACUCAACGCCACUUGAUUGGGAAAAA